rnacentral:lncRNA from 1 species
CAGCAGCGGAAUGUGUGCUAUUGAUUGGCUGGUUAAAGAGAGGCCUAUUAGAUUGAGACAGGCUGGAUUGAUUAUACAGCAGCAGAAGGAGCUCAGAUUCAGAGCUGAGUGAACGUCAGGGUGAGAGAGAGGGAGAGCAAGCGAGAGAAAGCGUGCAAUAGAGGGAGACCGUGCCCACUGUAGCAUCAGUGUGUGACAGCUGGUGCCUGAUAACACUGAUAUUGAGCUCCUUCAGUGGAGAACUUGCUGAGCUACCCUUUUUUCAUUUGCAAGAGGAUACCAGCUCUAAGCCAGUGCAACUGAUGACAGACUGGAUCUUGGAAUAGUUAAUUUCACUUACAAUUACAUCUCUCAUGUUCUGCUUCUCUGAAGAAAGGCUUAUUACGGAAGACAAAAAUUCAUUCUCUCCCCUUACCUCACAUAUUAUUGAUGAUAUACAGAGUUUGAUCUUCCAGUGAAAGCUACUGAAUCAGGAUUUUGGUGUUUUCAGUGGACGCUUGCAAGACUGUUUGGUGGAAAACAAAUUUCUAAGGUCUUGGCUAGUCAUCAAGUUUCUUGUACCAUCAGAAGAAUUGUUAUGGGAAUAAGAAAUGUUAUAUCACCUCUGUUUGAUGGACCUCCACUGGCAAGAAGGACGAGUUAGUCUGUAGACAGCUAUCUUGGCUUUUUGGUAUUGAUUCAGAUAAUUUGAGAUUCUUGAAGACAUCUUGCCAUGAACUGGUGCGUAGCUCAGCUGCUCUGAUGCAUCCUGAAGAAAUGUGAAUGGUCUAAAAAGCAAGAAG